GACCUAAAACGACGUGAUCUAAAGUUGAUCAGGAUCAGAAUUUAAAGAAUCAGUUCGUAAUAUGUAAGGAUGAACGAGCGAGGAUUUUGUGGAUUAAGGGUCUGAACGAGUGGCUGUUACAUAAGCCUUUGAUGAAUUGACUUUAGUAGUGAAAAGCUAAUCGAACGUCGUGAUAGUUGG
rfam:Puccinia triticina 1-1 BBBD Race 1 supercont2.10628, whole genome shotgun sequence.